rnacentral:lncRNA from 1 species
AAUUAUUUUUUUGCCAACUCAGUAUCAUAUUGGACAAAAAAAAUUAGAAACACGAAUCAUUCACCAUGUUCAUAUAAUUAUUAUUUUUUUAUAUGUCGUUAGAGUUUUUAUAAAAUUACUAGAAUUAUAUGUGAAUUAUUAAAAUUUUUAUUUGAUUGUUAAAAUUGUGAAUAGGUUGUUAUAAUUAUAUAUGAUUUGUUAAAAUUUUUAUAUAAUUACUAGAAUUAUAUAUAUUAUAUUUGUUAGAGGAAAGACAGUAAAUAAUUCAUCGUCUUCUAAAUUUUAUUAAAGACGAUAAAUAAUUCACAGUCUUCUAAUUAUUUUUUCAUCUCAGUACCACUGAGUAAAACAAAAUAAAGUUCUUUGACCAAAUAAAAAUUUCAAGCCCCGUUUAGUUCUGGGAUAAAGCCUGAAUUAUGAAAUUUAUCUCUGCUAUUCUGUCAAACGAAAUUAUUUUUUAGCCGAAAUAUUUUUUUCCGAUCAAGCCUUACUAUUUCUAGAUAUCCAAUAACUUAGAAUAAACUAUUCAACCUUUUUGGUGGAAUAGUACUAUUCCAAAUUUUAAUUCUAAGGUUUAAUUUUAAGCUUUAUUAAAAUUAGAAAUUGCUUUAGAACUAAAUUAUAUAGAUAUAAUAUUUUAUAUAUUAUAAUAGAUUAUUUUUAUUAAAUUUAAGUUUAACUAGAAUUUCAGAAAAAUAUUUUUUAUAAUUUUUUUUAUUAAAACAUAAUUACAAUAAAUUAUUUUUAUUAAAUUAUAUUUUAUAUUAUAUUCAACCAAUAUUUUUUUCCACUAUAUUUUAUGAUUUCAUAAAAUUAACCAAAUAUAUUCAAAUUUUCACGAGAAUAGCAGUAUUACAAAUCAAACAUAAUUUUAAUUUUAUUCCUGAUUAUUCUGAAAUAAUAAACUAUCUCAGAAAUAAAAAAAAAUUAUCCCAAUAUUUAUCCC